AGGAGCAGCCUGCUCACCAUGGCCUGGGCCCCCGUGCUCCUCAUGCUGCUCUGUCACUGCACAGGUUCCCUCUCCCAGCCUGUGCUGACUCAGCCGCCAUCUGUGUCUGCAUCUCCUGGAGCCACAGCCAGACUCACCUGCACCCUCAGCAGUGGUUUUGUUGUUGGUGGCUACUACAUACAAUGGUUCCAGCAGAAGCCAGGGAGCCCUCCCCGGUAUCUCCUGUCGUAUAAAUCAGACUCAAACAAGCACCAGGGCUCCGGCGUCCCCAGCCGCUUCUCUGGAUCCAAAGACUCCUCGGCCAAUGCAGGGCUCCUGACCAUCUCUGGGCUGCAGCCUGAGGACGAGGCCGACUAUUACUGUGCUACAUGCCACAGCAACAGUAAUACUUACACGGUGCUCCAGGGUCACGGGGAAGGGAAGCAGGUUUCUCUGGCUCCAGACAUGCUGACCCACCACAAUCUCCUCUACAUUGAAAUAUGA